ensembl:snRNA U4 U4 spliceosomal RNA
AGCUUUGCGCAGUGGCAGUAUCGUAGCCAAUGAGGUUUAUCCGAGGCCCGAUUAUUGCUAAUUGAAAACAAAGCCAGGAUAGCAACAUCUAACUGCAGAAUCCAGAGGGCGGCGUGUACGGGUGCUCGCGGUUCAAUUCUUUCAACUUCUCUGUAUUUUGCAAUCUCCCAUGAUAAACUUUGGGGAAAGAU